UAUCCAAAGGCGUGAUGCGGACCGAAUUAAAGUAGGGAAGUGUGUGAGCCAUGAAUCAAGAAAAGCCGCUAUUGUUUUUAAGAUACCCGUACCGUAAACCGACACAGGUGGAUGAGGAGAGAAUCCUAAGGCCGGCGGAAGAAGCAUUGUUAAGGAACUCGGCAAAAUGACCCCGUAACUUCGGGAGAAGGGGUGCCAACGAGAGUUGGCCGCAGAGAAUAGGCUCAAGCAACUGUUUAGCAAAAACACAGGUCUAUGCAAAACCGUAAGGUGAGGUAUAUGGGCUGACGCCUGCCCGGUGCUGGAAGGUUAAGAGGAGAGGUUAGCGCAAGCGAAGCUUUGAAUUUAAGCCCCAGUAAACGGCGGCCGUAACAAUAACGGUCCUAAGGUAGCGAAAUUCCUUGUCGGGUAAGUUCCGACCCGCACGAAAGGCGUAAUGAUUUGAGCGCUGUCUCGACAAUGCAUCCGGUGAAAUUGAAGUACCAGUGAAGAUGCUGGUUACCCGCGCCAGGACGGAAAGACCCCAUGGAGCUUUACUCCAGUUUGGUACUGGGGUCCGGCAGUGCAUGUACAGGAUAGGUGGGAGGCUGUGAACCUGGAACGCCAGUUUCAGGGGAGCCAUUGUUGGGAUACCACCCUUGUGCUGCUGGGCUUCUAACCAGCGGCCUUUAUCAGGCCGGGGGACAAUGCCAGACGGGGAGUUUGACUGGGGCGGUCGCCUCCGAAAGGGUAUCGGAGGCGCUCAAAGGUUCCCUCAGAAUGGUCGGAAACCAUUCGAAGAGUGCAAAGGCAGAAGGGAGCUUGACUGCGACACCGACGGGUGGAGCAGGUACGAAAGUAGGACUUAGUGAUCCGGUGGUAUUAAGUGGGAAUGCCAUCGCUCAACGGAUAAAAGCUACCCUGGGAUAACAGGCUUAUCACUCCCAAGAGUUCACAUCGACGGAGUGGUUUGGCACCUCGAUGUCGGCUCAUCGCAUCCUGGGGCUGUAGUAGGUCCCAAGGGUUGGGCUGUUCGCCCAUUAAAGCGGUACGCGAGCUGGGUUCAGAACGUCGUGAGACAGUUCGGUCCCUAUCCGGCGUGGGCGUAGGAUAUUUGAGAGGAGCUGUCCUUAGUACGAGAGGACCGGGAUGGACUGACCUCUGGUGUACCGGUUGAACCGCCAGGUUCACGGCCGGGUAGCCAAGUCGGGAAGGGAUAAACGCUGAAGGCAUCUAAGCGUGAAGCCCCCCUCAAGAUGAGAUAUCCCAUUCGAAAGAAGUAAGACCCCUUGAAGACGACGAGGUAGAUAGGGCAGAGGUGGAAGUGCCGUAAGGCAUGGAGCUGACUGUUACUAAUCGGUCGAGGGCUUGACC
rnacentral:rRNA from 1 species